CAGGCAGCCACUGUGGUGAUGGGCACCACCCUACUGCCACCAUGCCACAGGGGCUGGAGCCUCCCAGGCAAGGAGAGGCCACAUGGGCCACCCUGCCAGCACAGAGCAUCACAGGGAGACACACAGGGAUAGGGGACGGUGCUGGGCUCUGGAGCCUUUGGCACAGCAGGGAUGCUGCUCCAGCCUGGAGCAGGACUGCAGAAUUGCUCUUAAAUCUCAUUCACGGGCUUUUACCUUGCAACUCCUUAUUGCCAAAAGGUGACUUGAUUUAUCUAGUAACUGUGUGAAAAUAAGAAUUCCCUUUGAUAUUUAAA
rnacentral:lncRNA from 1 species